rfam:Clostridium hiranonis DSM 13275 Scfld0 genomic scaffold, whole genome shotgun sequence.
UUUCUGUUUUUAGCGCCAGAACUUGUAAAUUUAAUAUAAAUUCAAGUUGACGAGGUCAGAGUUAAUCGAAUAUUCGGCGGGUGCUCUGCGGUGUAUUUACCAUCGUAAAAUUUCUUCAAAACUUAGAAGUGAUUCUUUGAACAAAGGGAAAUUUGAGUAAAUAA